UGGGCAGUUAGCUCAGUGGUAGAGCGUCUGCCUUACAAGCAGGGGGUCACUGGUUCAAAUCCAGUACUGCCCAU
rnacentral:tRNA from 1 species